rnacentral:rRNA from 1 species
GUGCCAGCCGCUGCGGUAAUACCGGCAGCCCGAGUGAUGGCCGAUCUUAUUGGGCCUAAAGCGUCCGUAGCUGGCUGCGCAAGUCCGUCGGGAAAUCCACUCGCCCAACGAGUGAGCGUCCGACGGAAACUGCACAGCUUGGGACCGGAAGGCUCGAAGGGUACGUUCGGGGUAGGAGUGAAAUCCCAUAAUCCCGCACGGACCACCGAUGGCGAAAGCACUUCGAGAAAACGGAUCCGACAGUGAGGGACGAAAGCUAAGAUCGCGAACCGGAUUAGAAACCCUGGUAGUCC